rnacentral:rRNA from 1 species
GAUGAACGCUGGCGGCGUGCCUAAUACAUGCGAGUCGAGCGAAUAGACGAGGAGCUUGCUCCUCUGACGUUAGCGGCGGACGGGUGAGUAACACGUGGAUAACCUACCUAUAAGACUGGGAUAACUUCGGGAAACCGGAGCUAAUACCGGAUAAUAUAUUGAACCGCAUGGUUCAAUAGUGAAAGACGGUUUUGCUGUCACUUAUAGAUGGAUCCGCGCCGCAUUAGCUAGUUGGUAAGGUAACGGCUUACCAAGGCGACGAUGCGUAGCCGACCUGAGAGGGUGAUCGGCCACACUGGAACUGAGACACGGUCCAGACUCCUACGGGAGGCAGCAGUAGGGAAUCUUCCGCAAUGGGCGAAAGCCUGACGGAGCAACGCCGCGUGAGUGAUGAAGGUCUUCGGAUCGUAAAACUCUGUUAUUAGGGAAGAACAAAUGUGUAAGUAACUAUGCACGUCUUGACGGUACCUAAUCAGAAAGCCACGGCUAACUACGUG